GCGUUGCGUUGCGUUGCGUCACGUUUGGGUUUAAAGAUGUGAUGUGAUGCGGUGAUUCAAUCUGCAUUCUGCAACCAUUGGUACACGUCGUCCCUCGUUGCUUCUAAUUAUGCGCUACCAAGAUAAGGGCCACACUUUAGGUAUUUUGGACCUGAAUACACUUCAAGGAUUGACAGAGAAAGCAUUGAAAUAUCAUCAAAAGUGAAGCCACGAGCUUUUCGAGAUCGGAUGAUGGAGCAAAAGUAGGAAUUAAUUUGGAAAUCAAGAGAAGCUUAGGGUUGUGAACUAUAUAUCUGUUCACGGUCAUCUACUCAAUCUCACGGUUGUCAACUCAAGCAGAUCCAUUUUCAUAGUUUUAUUUAUGAUUAUUUUAAGCACUUUAUUUUAAUAUAAACUUGUGAUGAAUUGUUCUCGUAUUCUUAUAUAUUAGGGAGUGUUUUUAUUUGAGUCAUACUUUAUGUAUGUAUAUAGUGAUGAGUGAGAAGGAAUUGUUAAUGUACAUCAUAUCAUUUUAUGUUUUAGUUGUAAACUUUGUUGUUAGUGUAUUUUAAGAAAACUGUAAUUAUGAUUUGUUAACACAUUUCAUCUGAAAA